AAAGUUACAAAAAAAUAAAUCUAAACUGAAAAUAAAUGAGAGAGCCAGCUCUCUAAAGAGAGUUUUUAGAAUUUGAGAGAGCCGCCUAAAUGUCACCAUCUGAUUGGUCGUGCAUUUUUAACAAAAAAAGAAAGAAAGAAGGAGAGUUAAAUAUUUUUCUUUGCCCGAUAUUUUCGCUCUCUCUCUCGCGAUUUUCUUCAAAUUCUAAUUUCAUCAAGAUUUUGUUAAAAAAACGAGUUAGGGCUAUUACGUUCAUCGUAUAAUGCGUUAAGACUGAUUUGGGUUUGCUAAAGAUGGUUUUAUGGCUGCAAAUGUCUGAUGUUGCUGAGCGCCCACAAGAUGCUCGAUGAAAUGCCAAAGAGAGAGGCUUGAAUCGGAAGCAAAUAGGUCUGUUAAUUCAUUAUGCUCAGCUAAAAGGCCAAAAGGAUGAAAGCUUUGAGAUGCAAGUGUGAAGAUUCAUUGGAGUUUAUGUGUUUAGUUUUUCUAGUGUGUGAGUUUUGAGAGUGUGGAGUAUGUCACGAUUUGAGAGCCAAAUGUACCCCAAACACUUUUACACAUUUUUUCAAAAAUUUAAAUAGCCAAAUGUAUCCCAAACACUUUUACACAUUUUUCAAAAAUUUAAACCUUUGACCAUUGGAGAAUGUUGGUGGUCAUGUGAAAUUAUUUUACAUAGUGUGGUAAUUAUUUUAAUGGCUAUACAUGAGGUCAAAGGAUGAUGG
rnacentral:sRNA from 1 species